GGAGCACACUAGUGGCUGUUAGAAUUGUAUUUGUAACGCAACAAUGCCCCGGCACGGAUGCCGGGGCAAGGAGGAAACGCGCCAUGGACGGCGUGUUCCGACGGUUGUGUCACUCUUUCACAACCUAAAUAUACAAUUCUUACAGCCACUUGCGUGCAC
rnacentral:ncRNA from 1 species